GGAGUUAGCCGGUGCUUCUUCUGUGAGUGAUGUCCUUCCUGCCGGCUAUUAACCCGCAGGCCUUCUUCCUCACUGAAAGUGCUUUACAACCCGAAGGCCUUCUUCACACACGCGGCAUGGCUGGAUCAGGGUUGCCCCCAUUGUCCAAUAUUCCCCACUGCUGCCUCCCGUAGGAGUCUGGGCCGUGUCUCAGUCCCAGUGUGGCUGAUCAUCCUCUCAGACCAGCUACGGAUCGUCGCCUUGGUGAGCCGUUACCUCACCAACCAGCUAAUCCGACAUAGGCUCAUCCGAUAGCGCGAGGCCCGAAGGUCCCCCGCUUUCCCCCGUAGGGCGUAUGCGGUAUUAGCCUGGGUUUCCCCCAGGUUAUCCCCCACUACCCGGGCAGAUUCCUAUGCAUUACUCACCCGUCCGCCGCUCGCCACCAGGGAGCAAGCUCCCCGUGCUGCCGCUCGACUUGCAUGUGUUAGGCCUGCCGCCAGCGUUCAAUCUGAGCCAUGAUCAAACUCUGA
rnacentral:rRNA from 1 species